UGGCUGCAUUGAAGGGAACCUUGACCACCAGGAGAAAGGCAAUUGUGAGCUGUUCGGCGAGCACAAAACUGGACCAAAGUGCCACAAAAAGCGGGACCUACGGAUACACCACACAGCUGGCUAUGACCGCGGAUACAGCAGAGAAUGGAAUGGAUACGGCAUUGUACGCAAUAAGGAGAGUGGUGCCGGAGUACAGGCCCUCCGGGGUGUCUUGUGAGAGCUUCUUUCGCCAAACUGGAACUACAAGAGUCAACAAAGAACCUUAAGCGCGAAUCUUAAAGGAUGAAACCAAAAACCUACAUAGAGAUAUGGUGGUCAGAAUCCCGCAGCCAUAGGACAAUCCCAAUAUGUUCAGAAUCAUGCCAUUUCUGGUGAAGAAGCCAUGGGCAUCGUCCUAGAAAAUUCAUAUGUUGAGUUUAUAGACAAACGAGCGGAAAAUGUAGCUGUUUACUUACCCCCACAUUUGUAUAGAAAGCCCAAAGAAUGCUCAAGGCUAUGGGAAGCAGCAGCAGUCGGAGGAAAAGCGUCUUCAUGCCAACCAGACCGCAGGAGAAGGUGGAUGCCAGCAGUUUCCUUAGAAAAGAAAUAGCAAGUUACCAUCUAAAUGCAUGUUCUACGAUUGCGAACUUACAAGUACAGCAUAACCCAGACUUUAAGCUCUCCCGGUUUUCCGUAGGCCAGUGGAACCUUGCCGGAUCCCAUGUUAUUCAAUGGCGCAUCAGAGAUAGGAGUUUCUCUGGAGAAUCGUUCCACAAGCGCCUCGAUUUGCUGGCUGGACUCCAAGAACCGAUCACGGCUGCGACGAUCCACAGUGGACAGGCAGAGAUAAUACAUGAGGGGAUUCUCCAGCUGGGGGCAGGGAAAACCAAUGCCAUGGAAGUACUCCAGCAUGGCGCGAGUGCCACCAGAGUAGACAACACCGCCCAGGCACAGAAACAGAGCACGAUCCAAGAAUGGGAACACAUCGGAGCGUGGCUUCUCUAGCGAAAGUAAAAUCCCACAUCCAGUUUUCUUGGCCGUGUUGGAUAGAAUGGAUAUCAGCAGAUAGGCGCUCAGGGGAUCGAGUCCAUGCGUAGGCUCAUCCAGCAAUAGCAUUACUAUGAGAGAAACACAAUCGGUUAUGUACAUUCCGUUGCAAUCAAGGGUGGAUGGACUCACCUGGAUCUCUGACCAGUUGUAUGCCAAUAGCCAGGCGUCUCGCCUCACUGAUGUUCAGAUACUCCACACGCUUGUGGGCCACCUGCGAUAGGGCCAAAUCAGCCAGUACUUGUCGCACCUUGGAACUCUUUAGAUAGCCACUCAACUGCAUCGUAUACCAUAAUUAUUUGAUGUCUAUAUGGCAAUGAUAAACACUCACAAUCGUUGGCGUGUAGUGGAGGGUCUGGGCCACCGUCAGGCCGGGCACAAAGGUGCAGGAUUGUGUCACAUAGCCGCAUCGCUGCUGGAACAAGGCCUUGGACAACGGCGAUCCAUUCAGCAGCACCUGACCGCGAGUGGCUCCAUCGGCACGCCUUGAAA